AAAGGUGAAAACAAUCUGGCUGCAAGAACUGUCACACAAUUAAUCACCAGCAUUGAUUCUGUUGCCUUGGAUCACCAGGCAGGUGAACUCUUCCUCAUUCACAGUUCUGUCUAUAUUUGUCCCAAAGCUGUACACACCAUUGAAGUGCAUGACCUUCUCAGGCACGUGGGAGCCAAUCCACACUGAAGUAUACAUGAACACUUACAUUCCUGUGCUAGGAUUUUCCCACAUCUCUGGAGGUCCAUUUGAAGGAAUUAGGCAUCCUAAAAUGUUUAAAUAUUCUUUUAUUACUGGACACCUCUAA
rfam:Equus caballus chromosome 4, whole genome shotgun sequence.